rnacentral:rRNA from 1 species
AUUGAACGCUGGCGGCAUGCCUUACACAUGCAAGUCGAACGGCAGCACGGGAGCAAUCCUGGUGGCGAGUGGCGAACGGGUGAGUAAUGCAUCGGAACGUGCCCAGUCGUGGGGGAUAACUGCUCGAAAGAGCAGCUAAUACCGCAUACGACCUGAGGGUGAAAGCGGGGGACCGUAAGGCCUCGCGCGAUUGGAGCGGCCGAUGUCAGAUUAGGUAGUUGGUGGGGUAAAGGCCUACCAAGCCUGCGAUCUGUAGUUGGUCUGAGAGGACGACCAGCCACACUGGGACUGAGACACGGCCCAGACUCCUACGGGAGGCAGCAGUGGGGAAUUUUGGACAAUGGGCGCAAGCCUGAUCCAGCAAUGCCGCGUGCAGGAAGAAGGCCUUCGGGUUGUAAACUGCUUUUGUCAGGGAAGAAAUCCUCUGGGCUAAUACCUCGGGGGGGAUGACGGUACCUGAAGAAUAAGCACCGGCUAACUACGUGCCAGCAGCCGCGGUAACAC